rnacentral:rRNA from 1 species
AACGCUAGCUACAGGCUUAACACAUGCAAGUCGGGGGGAAACGAUAUUGGAAGCUUGCUUCCGAUAGGCGUCGACCGGCGCACGGGUGAGUAACGCGUAUCCAACCUGCCCAUCACUUGGGAAUAACCUUGCGAAAGUAAGACUAAUGCCCAAUGACAUUUAUAGAAGGCAUCCGAAAUGAAUUAAAGAUUUAUCGGUGAUGGAUGGGGAUGCGUCUGAUUAGCUUGUUGGCGGGGUAACGGCCCACCAAGGCUACGAUCAGUAGGGGUUCUGAGAGGAAGGUCCCCCACAUUGGAACUGAGAUACGGUCCAAACUCCUACGGGAGGCAGCAGUGAGGAAUAUUGGUCAAUGGGCGAGAGCCUGAACCAGCCAAGUAGCGUGCAGGAUGACGGCCCUAUGGGUUGUAAACUGCUUUUAUAGGGGAAUAAAGUGAGCUACGUGUAGUUUUUUGCAUGUACCCUAUGAAUAAGGACCGGCUAAUUCCGUGCCAGCAGCCGCGGUAAUACGGAAGGUCCGGGCGUUAUCCGGAUUUAUUGGGUUUAAAGGGAGCGUAGGCCGGAGAUUAAGCGUGUUGUGAAAUGUAGAUGCUCAACAUCUGAACUGCAGCGCGAACUGGUUUCCUUGAGUACGCAUAAAGUGGGCGGAAUUCGUGGUGUAGCGGUGAAAUGCUUAGAUAUCACGAAGAACUCCGAUUG